AUUGAACGCUGGCGGCAUGCCUUACACAUGCAAGUCGAACGGCAGCGCGGGAGCAAUCCUGGCGGCGAGUGGCGAACGGGUGAGUAAUAUAUCGGAACGUGCCCAGUAGUGGGGGAUAGCCCGGCGAAAGCCGGAUUAAUACCGCAUACGACCUGAGGGUGAAAGCGGGGGAGUCGCAAGACCUCGCGCUAUUGGAGCGGCCGAUAUCAGAUUAGCUAGUUGGUGGGGUAAAGGCCUACCAAGGCAACGAUCUGUAGUUGGUCUGAGAGGACGACCAGCCACACUGGGACUGAGACACGGCCCAGACUCCUACGGGAGGCAGCAGUGGGGAAUUUUGGACAAUGGGCGCAAGCCUGAUCCAGCAAUGCCGCGUGCAGGAAGAAGGCCUC
rnacentral:rRNA from 1 species